rnacentral:rRNA from 1 species
CAGUAGCCACGGUAAUACGGAGGGUGCAAGCGUUAAUCGGAUUUACUGGGCGUAAAGGGCGCGUAGGUGGUUAUUUAAGUGAGAUGUGAAAUCCCCGGGCUUAACCUGGGAACUGCAUCUUAUACUGGGUAACUGGAGUGCAGUAGAGGGUAGUGGAAUUUCCGGUGUAGCGGUGAAAUGCGUAGAUAUCGGAAGGAACACCAGUGGCGAAGGCGGCUACCUGGACUGAGACUGACACUGAGGCGCGAGAGCGUGGGGAGCAAACAGGAUUAGAUACCCCCGUAGUCCCUGUCUCUUAUAC